rnacentral:rRNA from 1 species
GACAGAGGUCCCAAGCGUUGUUCGGAUUCAUUGGGCGUAAAGGGUGCGUAGGUGGCGUCGUAAGUCGGGUGUGAAAUCUCGGGGCUUAACUCCGAAACUGCAUUCGAUACUGCGGUGCUUGAGGACUGGAGAGGAGACUGGAAUUUACGGUGUAGCAGUGAAAUGCGUAGAGAUCGUAAGGAAGACCAGUGGCGAAGGCGGGUCUCUGGACAGUUCCUGACACUGAGGCACGAAGGCCAGGGGAGCAAACGGG